CAGUCGUACCGGCGGGUAAUCAGCCUUUUGGGUGUGAUUAUGUGGAGCGUGAGGAGCUAAUCGCCUUCAUCUUUGCAUAUUCGUGCACUUUGGGUGUACUUGCUCGUGUGGUAGGUUAACAUCAAUUUUGAUUAUCAUAAAAUGAUUGAAGGAAUGUAGCUUCGAUCUCGUAUUGAAGUGUUAUAGACUCUGGUAGAUGUGAUGAUCAGGAUUGAGGA
rnacentral:rRNA from 1 species